rnacentral:rRNA from 1 species
UACAGUGGGUGCAAACGUUGCUCGGAAUCAUUGGGCGUAAAGCGCACGUAGGCGGUUUGUUAUGUCGGAUGUGAAAGCCCUUGGCUCAACUAAGGAAGUGCAUCCGAAACUGGCAAGCUGGAGUACUAAAGAGGGUCGCGGGAUUCCCGGUGUAGAGGUGAAAUUCGUAGAUAUCGGGAGGAACACCGGUGGCGAAGGCGGCGACCUGGGUAGAUACUGACGCUGAGGUGCGAAAGCGUGGGGAGCAAACAGG